GACCGCGUGAGAGAGAGGAAGAUAUUGUAGCUCUUUUUUAGAGAGAUGGGGAUGGGUUUGGAUGGGAGGAAGAGAGCUGAUUAGAGGAGGGUAAAGGAUGGCCAGAAAGCAUAAAGAGAGAAAAAAAAGCUUUAGUGUCUGAAAGACUUUUAGAGAGCUGCAGCUUGGACCUAAACAUAUUCUGUUUCCUCUAUUACCUCCUCAGUACCCUGGUUGAUGCUUGAAUUUGUCAGAUUUCGUGUAGUGUAGUUGUCAUAUCUGGUUCCUGCCCCGCAGCCCUCCUGCCAAACCAGGCGGAAACUAUCUUAUCUGUCGUCAUGUUUUGUCAGGGGAAAGAAAAAAACCAUCCUUCUGAGAAAAUGUUUUUAGAAAAGAUGCUCUCGUUUUUUUUGUGUGUUGGGGGCAAAAAAAAAAAGACAAAGGAAAAAUAAAAAUAAAAAUGUUUUUUAAAUGUUUUUAAAGCCCUCUCUUGCUCUGCUGUAGUAAACGUUGCUGUUCGCUCUAAACACUGCCUGGUGCUCACCCAGUCUGUGAGAUUAUUCAUGAAAUUGUACUUAGAAAACAUCUCCGUCAUGUCAACACUGAUGAAAUGAACAUUCACUCCUUGAAAUGUCCUGUACAUUUUAUUUAUUUCAUUUUGUAUUUUAUUUUCUUCUACAAAAUGGCAUGCACCAAUCCGUUCUGGGUGAUUUGGGAAUUCUUAGAUAGGAGCUUACAUCUGCAAAGUAUAGACUACUUUAUGAGUGUUGUACCAAGCGAUUCAUGCUCUAGUGUAUUCUAAAUGAGUGAAUAAUUGGUAUAUAAUUGUUAUAAUUAUAUUCAAACCCCUAAUGAACAAUCUUACCUUGCCCUGUUCUGAUAGAUUGGUCUUGGACUUCGACCCUCCCUCCCAUGGCUUGAUUGGCAGUUAUGCGUAGCCGAUGGGAACAAUGUAAUCCCUUUAUGAUGACCUCUGUAGGAACACAAGGUCAGGGGUCAUGCAUGAAAUGCGUUCAACACUUAGACAAUGCAGAGUAUUUCAAGUGUCUAAUUGGUUACUUGUCCCAUCCAAUCAGAAGACCAAAUAUAGUCCAGCAAUGACUUAUAUGAGAUUGAUAUUUUGACUUAAGUUCUGAGUAAAGCACUUAUUGUGUAGCCUUUUACCUUUCAAGGCAUGAUUACUAAUUCAUUUAGCUUAGAUGUGAAUGCCAUUUGACAAGAAAAAACACCACUUAAAAUAUAGUGUGGAAUUGUGUUUUAAACUUUGUUUUUCUCCUAAACUUGCGAGUUAUUAUGAAGUAUGACAAAAAUGUGCCCCUUAGCGCUUCUGUCACGUUAUGCAUGUGAGCAUGAAAAAUGAUGCUGGUGGGAAAUGUGUAUAACCUGUACAAUUGGUAUUUACUUAUCAUGACAUGUAGCACUGACUGAGAUGCGUGUCUAAAUUCCUACAUUCAGCACUUAGAUAGGUCCUGAAACCCUUGAGGGGAUUCCUACAUUCAGCACUUAGAUAGGUCCUGAAACCCUUGAGGGGAUUCCUACAUUCAGCACUUAGGUAGAUCCUGAGACGGGAUUCCUGAAGGGCCAAGAAUUUCCACAUACAUUAUUUAUGAAAACUAUAAAUCUAUGUAUUUAUCAUUGGGCAAUCAAAAAAGAACAUGCUAGUGGUUCCCGAAGAUGAGGAUGUUGAUUAUGGCAGCCCCCCGUACCUCUCUGAUUCAGAGGGGUUGGGUUAAAUGCAGAAGACACAUUUCAGUUGAAGGCAUUCAGUUGUACAACUGACUAGGUAUCCCCCUUCCCCUUCAUCAGUCGUAUCUAAUCUACUGAGGUGCAUUGCCAUUUGGGCUUUAUUUCAUGUUUGUAUGAAUAUUUUUGGGGUUCAGUUGUUUAGUUAUGCCACUUGGGUUAACGGAUCCCCCUGUCUGAAAAAGUCCUCCUCCUUAACACGACUGAGUCUCGCCUCUUUUACAGAGAGGUUUCACACUUCUAAUUAUUUAUAUACACUCAGAUAAUGAAUGUAAUAAACCGACAUGAAUCUCCCCCUCACACAAAAAAAAUAUCUGAAAAAAAAAACAAUGACACUGUCAGUUUUGGGGGGAAACAGACUGUUUCAUUUCUUUCUCCAUCGUCUGCUUGUAUUUGACUAGUGUUUUUCUGCCGUGGGUAUCUGUAGCCUUCAGUAUUGUACCUCUCAGGAUAAAGUUGACGGGAGGGGCAGCAAUAUUAGUCAGUCGGGGGAUGACGCAGACUUAACUACCUGUAUUAGAUUAAAUAUAUACAACACCUAUAUUAUAUAUUGACCUGGCUCAGCUGUGUCCAAGUGCUGUACCUCAACCUGCACUUUGUAUCCCUCUCAGGGAAGCCUGAAAGAAAGAAGGGAUAGUUGAUACUCUGGGAAAUAUAGGCCCCUCCUUUUUCUUUUGCUCUCGUCUUUUACAAGAGGAGCUAGGAGUAUGUGACGGACAGCUUAUUAGUCGAGUUCGUUUUUUUUUACUGUAACAUCACUCCAGGUUAAACUUCUUCAUGGGGAUUUGAGUUUAUUACAGAGAUGAGACAGAGACACAGUCGGUCAGAGACCUAGAGGGGAGAAUGUGACGGACAGCUUAUGAGACAGAGACACAGUCGGUCAGAGACCUAGAGGGGAGAAUGUGUCAGACAGGUGGAAAUGUUAACCUUCUGAAUCUGUCUUAUUAUUAUUAUUAUUAUUAUUAUUAUUAUUAUUAUUAACUUGUUUUAAACUGCAUUCCAAAACAAAUCAUUGUACCUUUUUAUAUAAAUGAAAAUAGCUAUAUACAUAUGAAUAUAUAUUUAAUUUACUGUUUUACAUCUUCAGGUAAAUUGAUGGAUUUCUUUUCAUUCUGAUGUGAGAUUGUAAACAAACAUGGAGAGAAAAAAAAAGAAAUGCAGAACAGAACUAACCUCAAUUUCUAGAUACCAUG
ensembl:lncRNA